GAUCCUGGCUCAGAGUGAACGCUGGCGGCGUGCCUAAUACAUGCAAGUCGAACGGAGAUUAAAUAGCUUGCUAUUUAAUCUUAGUGGCGCACGGGUGAGUAAUGUAUAGUUAAUCUGCCCCAUGGUGGAGGACAACAGUUAGAAAUGACUGCUAAUACUCCAUACUCCUUCUUAUCAUAAGUUAAGUCGGGAAAGUUUUUCGCUAUGGGAUGAGACUAUAUCGUAUUAGCUAGUUGG
rnacentral:rRNA from 1 species